rnacentral:rRNA from 1 species
GACGAACGCUGGCGGCGUGCUUAACACAUGCAAGUCGAACGGAAAGGCCCUGCUGUUGUGGGGUGCUCGAGUGGCGAACGGGUGAGUAACACGUGAGUAACCUGCCCCUGGCUUUGGGAUAACUACAGGUAACUAGGGCUAAUACCGCAUAGUAGCUCCUGCUGCACGGUGGGGGGUGGAUAGGUUCGGCGGUUGGGGAUGGACUCGCGGCUAAUCAGCUUGUUGGUGAGGUAGUGGCUUACCAAGGCUUUGACGAGUAGCCGGCCUGAGAGGGUGACCGGCCACAUUGGGACAGGGGUGCGGGCCGGACUGAUACGGGAGGCAGGGGUGGGAGAUAUUGGACGAUAGGCGGAAGGCUGGUGCAGCACCGCCGCGUGGGGGAUGACGGCCUUCGGGUUGUAAACCGCUUUCGCCUGUGACGAAGCGUGUGUGACGGUAAUGGGUAAAGAAGCACCGGCUAACUACGU